AUGCUGGGAUUACAGGUGUGAGCCACUGCACCUGGCCAUAAAAGCCCAUUUUAAGCAGAAUGCUGAACUAGAUAUAUGAGCACUUCUUAUCUAGGUUUUCAUAACAUGUCAUCUGGGUCACCACACGUUCCCUUGUUGGUCUUCCUGCACCUCAUUUCUUCUCCCCAGAACCUCCCCACCCACUGCUAACUACAUAGCCAUCCUAAAGUACCACUUUCUCCUCAGUCUAGGAAGAUGUUCUAGUGCCACCACAUCAAACCCUAAAUAUCCUCCUGCCCAGCUUUUGGGGCCAUCUAUAAUUUGCACACCUCCAUUUCUCCCCAACCUCACAUCCUCCUGCCAAACAUGGGUCUUUGGCUUUAGCCCUUUCUAUGUCUUGCUCUUCUCCAGGCCUCAGCUUAUAAUCUACCUCCUGUAAGAAGAGUGUAUCAAUGGAAGUACUUAGCAUGUAUCUCCUGACCAUUCCUACCAUAUUGAUUUUCUCUUCCCUUUAGGCAUUAACCAUCUGUGAAGUUAAGCUCUUAAAAAAUAUGAUUGUUUGCAACCAGCCUGGCCAACAUGGUGAAACCCCGCCUCUACUAAAAAUACAAAAAAAUUAGCUGAGCGUCAUAGUGGGUGUCUGUAAUCCCAGCUACUUGGGAGGCUGAGGCAGGAGAAUCACUUGAACCUGGGAGGCGGAGGUUGCAGUGAGCUGAGAUCGUGCCAUUGCACUCCAGCCUGGGCAAUAACAGUGAAACUCCAUUCAAAAACAAAACAAAAAUAUGGUUGCGUUGGCCAGGUGUGGUGGCUCACACCUGUAAUCCCAGCACUUUGGGAGGCUGAGGUGGGCGGAUCACUUGAGGCCAGGAGUUUGAGACCAGCCCGGACAACAUGGUGAAACCGUA
rnacentral:lncRNA from 1 species